CUAUACUAAAAGUUGGAUAUAGUCAAAGGAGAAGGUGUCCACAUAGGAUCAAAAAUUCAACCAAUGGAAAUGUUCCUUUUUACCACGUCAGACCGGCAAAAACCUAUGUACUUACGAGUUUAGAGAAAUGGGCUGCGACAUGUAUUAUAAUGAUUUUCGUUUAAAUGAAAUGGGCCUUUAUUACCCAAAAUAAAUAAAAG
rnacentral:lncRNA from 1 species